CUUGACAUCCACAGAACUUUCCAGAGAUGGAUUGGUGCCUUCGGGAACUGUGAGACAGGUGCUGCAUGGCUGUCGUCAGCUCGUGUUGUGAAAUGUUGGGUUAAGUCCCGCAACGAGCGCAACCCUUAUCCUUUGUUGCCAGCGAUUAGGUCGGGAACUCAAAGGAGACUGCCAGUGAUAAACUGGAGGAAGGUGGGGAUGACGUCAAGUCAUCAUGGCCCUUACGACCAGGGCUACACACGUGCUACAAUGGCGCAUACAAAGAGAAGCGACCUCGCGAGAGCAAGCGGACCUCAUAAAGUGCGUCGUAGUCCGGAUUGGAGUCUGCAACUCGACUCCAUGAAGUCGGAAUCGCUAGUAAUCGUGGAUCAGAAUGCCACGGUGAAUACGUUCCCGGGCCAUGUACACACCGC
rnacentral:rRNA from 1 species